rnacentral:misc_RNA from 1 species
CCUGGGCCUCUGCAAACAAUAUUUAACCUUCCUGCAGAUGAGAUUGUUGAACACAGUUAUUCAUGCGCACUUGAGAGAUCUUUCUUGUAUCAUGGGCGCAUGUAUGUAUCAUAUGCUUCCAUUCUAAUGUUUUCUCCAAGCAAAUGAAGGUGAUUAUACCUUUAGGAGAUAUAGAUGAGAUACGUAGGAGUCAGCAUGCAUUCAUUAAUCCUGCCAUAACUAUUGUUCUGCGGAUGGGUGCUGGUGGGCAUGGUGUGCCUCCAUUAGGAAG